rnacentral:rRNA from 1 species
AUUGAACGCCGGCGGCAGGCUUAACACAUGCAAGUCGGACGGUAACAGGAGGAAAGCUUGCUUUCUUUGCUGACGAGUGGCGGACGGGUGAGUAAUGCUUGGGAAUCUGUUUUAUGGAGGGGGAUAACUACGGGAAACUGUAGCUAAUACCGCGUAAUAUCGAGAGAUUAAAGUGUGGGACCGUAAGGCCACAUGCCAUAGAGUGAGCCCAAGUGGGAUUAGGUAGUUGGUGGGGUAAAGGCCUACCAAGCCGUCGAUCUCUAGCUGGUCUGAGAGGAUGACCAGCCACACUGGGACUGAGACACGGCCCAGACUCCUACGGGAGGCAGCAGUGGGGAAUAUUGCACAAUGGGCGCAAGCCUGAUGCAGCCAUGCCGCGUGAAUGAAGAAGGCCUUCGGGUUGUAAAGUUCUUUCGGUGGUGAGGAAGGUUGUAAUGUUAAUAGCAUUAUAAUUUGACGUUAGCCACAGAAGAAGCACCGGCUAACUCCGUGCCAGCAGCCGCGGUAAUACGGAGGGUGCGAGCGUUAAUCGGAAUAACUGGGCGUAAAGGGCACGCAGGCGGAUACUUAAGUGAGGUGUGAAAGCCCUGGGCUUAACCUAGGAAUUGCAUUUCAUACUGGGUGUCUAGAGUAUUUUAGGGAGGGGUAGAAUUCCACGUGUAGCGGUGAAAUGCGUAGAGAUGUGGAGGAAUACCGAAAGGCGAAGGCAGCCCCUUGGGGGAAUACUGACGCUCAUGUGCGAAAGCGUGGGGAGCAAACAG